GACGAACGCUGGCGGCGUGCCUAAUACAUGCAAGUUGAGCGCUGAAGGUUGGUACUUGUACCAACUGGAUGAGCAGCGAACGGGUGAGUAACGCGUGGGGAAUCUGCCUUUGAGCGGGGGACAACAUUUGGAAACGAAUGCUAAUACCGCAUAAAAACUUUAAACACAAGUUUUAAGUUUGAAAGAUGCAAUUGCAUCGCUCAAAGCUGAUCCCGCGUUGUAUUAGCUAGUUGGUGAGGUAAAGGCUCACCAAGGCGAUGAUACAUAGCCGACCUGAGAGGGUGAUCGGCCACAUUGGGACUGAGACACGGCCCAAACUCCUACGGGAGGCAGCAGUAGGGAAUCUUCGGCAAUGGACGAAAGUCUGACCGAGCAACGCCGCGUGAGUGAAGAAGGUUUUCGGAUCGUAAAACUCUGUUGGUAGAGAAGAACGUUGGUGAGAGUGGAAAGCUCAUCAAGUGACGGUAACUACCCAGAAAGGGACGGCUAACUACGUG
rnacentral:rRNA from 1 species